GAUGAAGAACGUAGCAAAAUGCGAUACUUGGUGUGAAUUGCAGAAUCCCGUGAACCAUCGAGUUUUUGAACGCAAGUUGCGCCCGAAGCCUUUUGGCCGAGGGCACGUCUGCCUGUGCGUCACGCAUCGCGUCGCCCCCCACAAUUCUCCGUAAAGGGAACAUGUGUUUUGGGGGCGGAUAUUGGUCUCCCGUGCUCAUGGCGUGGUUGGCCGAAAUAGGAGUCCUUUCGAUGGACGCACGAACUAGUGGUGGUCGUAAAAACCCUCGUCUUUUGUUUCGUGCUGUUGCUCGCAAGGUAAACUCUUUAAAAACCCCAAUGUGUCGUCUCUUGACGACGCUUCGACCGCGACCCCAGGUCAGGCGGGACUACCCGCUGAGUUUAAGCAUAUCAAUAAGCGGAGGA
rnacentral:misc_RNA from 1 species